rnacentral:rRNA from 1 species
UACGGAGGGUGCAAGCGUUAUCCGGAUUCACUGGGUUUAAAGGGUGCGUAGGUGGGCAGUUAAGUCAGUGGUGAAAUCUCCGGGCUUAACCCGGAACGGUCAGCCGAUACUGCAGGGCUAGAGUGCAGAAGGGGCAACUGGAAUUCUCGGUGUAGCGGUGAAAUGCGUAGAUAUCGAGAGGAAACCCUGCGGGGAAGGCGGGUUGCUGGGCUGACACUGACGCUGAGGCGCGAAAGCUAGGGGAGCGAACGGG